UACAGAGGGGGCAAGCGUUGUUCGGAAUUACUGGGCGUAAAGGGCGCGUAGGCGGCCUGUUAAGUCGGACGUGAAAUCCCUCGGCUCAACCGGGGAACUGCGUCCGAUACGGGCAGGCUUGAGUUCGGUAGGGGAGACUGGAAUUCCUGGUGUAGCGGUGAAAUGCGCAGAUAUCAGGAGGAACACCGGUGGCGAAGGCGGGUCUCUGGGCCGAUACUGACGCUGAGGAGCGAAAGCGUGGGGAGCGAACAGG
rnacentral:rRNA from 1 species